rnacentral:ncRNA from 1 species
GGGUGCUGACUGCUUGGUGCAGUGAGGCAGGUUAAAAAGACUACGCUGGUCGGGCCGCCAUGCG